GACGAACGCUGGCGGCGUGCCUAAUACAUGCAAGUAGAACGCUGAAGAGAGGAGCUUGCUCUUCUUGGAUGAGUUGCGAACGGGUGAGUAACGCGUAGGUAACCUGCCUUGUAGCGGGGGAUAACUAUUGGAAACGAUAGCUAAUACCGCAUAACAAUGGAUGACUCAUGUCAUUUAUUUGAAAGGGGCAAAUGCUCCACUACAAGAUGGACCUGCGUUGUAUUAGCUAGUAGGUGAGGUAACGGCUCACCUAGGCGACGAUACAUAGCCGACCUGAGAGGGUGAUCGGCCACACUGGGACUGAGACACGGCCCAGACUCCUACGGGAGGCAGCAGUAGGGAAUCUUCGGCAAUGGGGGCAACCCUGACCGAGCAACGCCGCGUGAGUGAGGAAGGUUUUCGGAUCGUAAAGCCCUGUUGUAAGUCAAGAACGAGUGUGAGAGUGGAAAGUUCACACUGUGACGGUAGCUUACCAGAAAGGGACGGCUAACUACGUGCCAGCAGCCGCGGUAAUACGUAGGUCCCGAGCGUUGUCCGGAUUUAUUGGGCGUAAAGCGAGCGCAGGCGGUUUGAUAAGUCUGAAGUUAAAGGCUGUGGCUCAACCAUAGUUCGCUUUGGAAACUGUCAAGCUUGAGUGCAGAAGGGGAGAGUGGAAUUCCAUGUGUAGCGGUGAAAUGCGUAGAUAUAUGGAGGAACACCGGUGGCGAAAGCGGCUCUCUGGUCUGUAACUGACGCUGAGGCUCGAAAGCGUGGGGAGCGAACAGG
rnacentral:rRNA from 1 species